UAUCUCGCCAGACAAGAGCUUUUCUCUCGCGAUAAUCUCCGAGGACAAGGAAGUCAGGUUUGAAUAAAGAGAAGUGCUUCUGCAUCAGCAGUUGUAACGAUGAUCAUGUGAAGGAGGAGCUGCAGCCACCCUCGUGGAUUUAUUCACUGGACUUCCAAAGCAAGAAACCAGCAAGCCUAUGUCAAAUUGACAGUAAAGAAUAGAAGUAGAUAAUCUUUCUACAGGUCAAGAUUAUUCAGUCCAGAUGGGUUCAUUGACCUGGCCUCGACAAAGCUCCGGCAGUUGUAAACAUUUUAAUCGAACCAGAAAGUUUUAGCGAAACUACAUCGGACAGUUCAUCUGUCGUGUCAUCAGCCACUCACUCAAGCAGGUCGUCAACCAGAUCUUCAGCUUCGCCAAACUCU